rnacentral:rRNA from 1 species
CAGUAGCCGCGGUAGUACGAGGGGUGCAAGCGUUAUUCGGAUUGAUUGGGUGUAAAGGGUGUGCAGACGGCUUAUUAAGUCACUUGUUAAAUUCUUCGGCCUAACUGAAGGUCUGCAAGUGAUACUGAUGAGCUAGAGGGUGGAAGAGAGAAGUGGAAUUCUCGGAGUAGCGGUAAAAUGCGUAGAUCUCGAGAGGAACACCAACGGCGAAAGCACUCUGCUGGGCCGACACUGACACUGAGAGACGAAAGCUAGGGGAGCAAAUGGGAUUAGAUACCCGAGUAGUCCCUGUCUCUUAUAC